AACUACUCAAGGCAAGAAGAAAAGAAAGGGAAAAACUACUCCUCGACAUUUUUUUUUCACGCUCCCUUCACAGGGGCAGGGUCAAAAUCCUUCUCUCAUUCUCUUCUUCUUUUCUCCAUCUCUUUCUCCAUGAAAGUCCCACCAUGAAUGAAUGAAGCUAGCUUAGAAAUUCUUCACUCCUUUUGCCAAGCUUUCUAAUUAAGGUGAUAAGAAUCCAAGCACAAGCGAUCGAGGCAAAGAAAAGCUGUAAGGAUAAGUGCUCCUCAUGAAGUUUUUGUGGGCUUGCUAAGAUCUAGUUUGAAACGUUCAAGUGGUUGACGUUGCUGCCGGUGUAGAAGUCACAGACAAUCCUUUUGGGUAAUCAAGUGAAUGUAAUAGAUGUGGCAUGUUAGUUUUCAAGUCAUAUCAGUUUCUUUUGUGAGCCCCUUUUAUGUAUAAGCUAACUUAAGCUACUUACCGCUACUUUACAAACACAUCUUUUAAACCAUGUCAUGGGCUUCUAAGUCAAGAUAGUUUGAUAUAUGUAUGUUUUUGGAGAA